CUCUCUCUAAUGGAGCAGUUCCAAUCAGUAAAGAUGAACAUUCUCAGAGAGCCAGAGACAGUGGAUAUCUGCAAAAAAAAUCAGUGAUGGAUAUUUCAGUUAUGAAAUCUCUUACUUUACAGCAGGUUUUGACUUUUAGUUCUAGGUUUGAGAUCUUUUUCAUAAUUGGUCCCUAAUCUACUGUUUAAUUGUAUGUACUUAUUCUAGUAAGCAUAGGCAACCAGAGAUAAUAUCAUUUUUUUUUCUACAGAAUUAUUGAAAGGUAGGCUUCUGAGUGGUCCCAAGCCCUGUAAAGAAGAAGUAUAUAAGCUAUUUCUCAGAGUAGGAGGAAUGCUCAUAAAAAUUGUAGGCGACAGAACCAAGCGAAAGCUAGCUGUAGCAAGAACUUUCUUGGAUCUCCAUAUUCCUUAUGGAUCACCUGUUCCUGUUUGCUUUGCAGAAAACAUGUUCCUCCAGCUGAAGUCACUGCUCCUGCUUUAAGAUACAUUGUCCCUGUCACAGUUUUGGAUCAUUCAUCAUUUUCAAAGAAAAGGAUAUACUUCAGGAACCAGUAUCUGACAAAACGAGGGUUGUGCUAUUUUCCUGUUGCCAUAACCAUCUCAGAGUUUCAAUUUUUCAAAUCCUGUUCCUAGAGUCAGAGUCUUGCUGUCCUGUUCACUGAGUUCUCCAACUCAUCCCUGAAACCACGCCUCCUCUCAGCUUCAUGAGAAACUCACAGUACAGAGGCAGAGCACCACAUUCAGCUGAUGAGUAACAUUAAUCCCGCAACAUGGCUGCUCUGGCAAGGGAUCAUAUCCAGAGACUUUUUAGGACUAUAUGAUCCAGCUGGACUGCAGAAAACCUUUAAUAUACACCUUUAAUCCCUAACAAUGAAGGAAUGAAAAUAAAGAACAAAUAAAUGAACUUGGAAAGCUGUCUGCUGAUACUGAAAUUCAGACCUCAACCUUCUCCAAGAUUUGCAUCUGCCUCCCUGGAUACAAAGAUUGUG
rnacentral:lncRNA from 1 species